rnacentral:lncRNA from 1 species
CAAAGAAUAUCAACGAAUAUCAACGUAUAUCAAAAAUAUCAAAGAACGUCAAGGAAUAUCAAAGAAUAUCAAAUAAUAUCAAGGAAUUCCACUGUUUCUUCAUAAACACGCCUUUAUCAUACACCGAUUCAAUACCAACUCACACCAAUAAUCAAUAUCAUUAUCAUCUUAGAAUGUGAAAAAUUGAAAAUCUCAUUUAUUGAAAUGAUAUCAUAAUAACUCACUGAUGAAGAACAUAAUCAAAAGAAUCUUUAGUUGAAGAGAGGUAUUGCCAAGGUCUUCUCAAAUUCCCACUCUACUUUACGAAAUCGCUAUUCGAUUUAUGUCAUCCUUUCAACGUUCUCGAUAGUCGAUUGACGUUCGUUCGUAGCAACCUCGUAAAAUUCAUAGUAGACGUUAUCGCUCGUAAUAAGUCAUGACCUCCACUUCAUCCCCAUUAUCUGUGAAGUCACUAGCAAAACACGUAGCAUAUCAUCGAUUGUAUGGAUNNNN